UCUUGGUUAAGUGGUUUCUUAGUGGAAGUCUUGUUUAAAUUGCAAACCUUCUUCUUCAAGGCUUUCAUCUUCUCCUUCAAAACAACUUUGCCUUCCUUCUUCUAAACUUCUAGCGAUUGAAAAAUCAACCCUCCACCGACAAUUCCUUGGCAAUCUUAUAGGAGAAGAUUAAGCUUAGGUUUGGCGGGUUGUCCUGGGUCUUAUUUCUGUAGUUGUUGUCUGAUUGCUAUAAUUGAACUUUGAGGUUUUAGACCUUGCAAUUGCUUCCUGUGAGUGAGAUUUGUAUUCUAUUUGUAUUCCUGGUUUCGGUCUAUUAAGUGUGGUACUGUAUUUCUGUAGGGCUGCUAAAGCCCAUACUUGUAUUAUAUUUAUUGCUAUUAUCUUGUUUGUAUUUCUGUACUAUUAUUUCUAGUUUGUCUGUUGGUGUUAACUCUGACUAGGUCUGAAAUUUGAGGCCUUGUACCCAAUGGAGCCCAACCCUUUUAAAUGUGGCUGAUUUGUCAGUGGGCUCGGCUUUGGAGUUGGGACGUGACAGUUCCGCCCCUCGUUAUGAAAGGCGACAAGCGCGAGGAGCCGCGCUCACCACCGAACCGUGCUCUUACUUUGCGCGAGAUAGGGAUCGAAUUCGGGGAGCCACACUCGACACUCGAGGUGAACAUCUUAUGUAGG